rnacentral:tRNA from 1 species
GCUUGGAUGGCUCAGCUGGUUAGAGCGCAGGUCUCAUAUUCCGAUAUGACCACCACAAGGUGGGUAAUCCUGAGGUCGUGAGUUCGAUCCUCACUCCGAGCA